UUAGAUAGGAGGCACGUUAGAUAGGAGACAGGAGACAGGGAGGUAGGAGACAGGUUAGAUAGGAGACAGGUUAGGUAGGAGACAGGUUAGAUAGGAGACAGGAGACAGGGAGGUAGGAGACAGGUUAGGUAGGAGACAGGUUAGGUAGGAG